GCCUUGAUAGUUUAAUUGGUAAAACACUCGACCGAUAAUCGGGCGUUUCUGGUUCGAGUCCAGAUCGAGGUACCA
rnacentral:tRNA from 1 species